UGGGAGGUAGUGACAAUAAAUCACAAUGCGGAACUUUUAGUUUUGCAAUUGGAUUGAGAACAAUGUACAAAUGUUAUCGAUAAACAAUUGGAGGGCAAGUCUGGUGCCAGCAGCCGCGGUAAUUCCAGCUCCAAUAGCGUAUAUUAACGUUGUUGCAGUUAAAAAGCUCGUAGUUGAAAUGUGGGAUGAAGUAUAUAAUGAAUUUCUAAUUCAAUUGUAUAUUGAUUCCCCUCUCCAAUUUAUUAUUAUGGGUAUUAAUUUAUUUGUAAUAAGAAUUGGUCAUUUACUGUGAGAAAAUUAGAGUGUUCAAAGCAGGCAUUUGCUUGAAUAGAUUAGCAUGGAAUAAUACUAAAAGGCUUUUAUGGUCGAUUUAAUUGGUUUGUUCAUAAAAGCAAGAUUAAAAGGAACAGUUGGGGGUAUUCAUAUUCAAUAGUUAGAGGUGAAAUUCUCGGAUUUAUGGAAGAUGAACAAGUGCGAAAGCAA
rnacentral:rRNA from 1 species